UAACCCAAUCAAUGAACAUGAUAGACAGCCUAUUUUUCUAUUGGCUACUUAACCAGAUGGUCUGACGUCACCACUAUGCGUCAAAUCUUCCCACUAUGUCCGCAUGUUCUAAACAUGGUGAACCAGUUAACAACACCUGCAACAAACUUUGGUUAUCAAUGACAAACAAAUCUGUGUUUAUCAAUGAUGUCACCUUUGGCCAAAUGCCCCAGUACUGUUGGGCAGGGUCCUGACCCCUGAGAAGAAUCUGGUGUUGCAGUCAAAAAUACAGACGGCGGCCAUUGGCACCAACAGCACCUACCUCCCUAUUGAGGUCCUCACGGGCCUCCAGUUCUUCCCCCUGAAGCAGACGGAUUCCCCCUCUCUGAGGUUAUGCAGUGGUGUCCCCUUCUUCCCCCAGUCCAGCUGUGUGUCAGCCCUCGGAGGUUCUAGAGAUGACAGAGAGGGGAACCUUAAACUACAGCUGAUGGUGAUUGAUAUGUUGUGUCAGAUACUGCAGACUGAGUCUAUAUGGGAUGUCCAGCAAUGGAUUCUGACAGCUGGUCAAAGAGAAAAGGACCAGGUUCUAAGUCUGCUGUGUUCCGCCCUGGCCAAGGACCCUGUCUCAGCCUAUGAGGCUCCAGGAAGAGAGCAGCUGACAGUGAAGGAGGUUCAAAACUUCCCUCCUGCCUCCAGAAUGGCUUUGAUCAGUGAGAAGGAUACCACCAGAAAUCAUUCCCUAGAAAUGAUGUCAAACUGUGACUCAGGUAAACUGGAGGAUGCAGACACAGAGAGGGCAGAGUCCAAGACCCCCAGGGAGAAUCACAGCGCCAGACCCCUGAGUACCCAGAGGACCCUGGGUAGCCCCCCCGUGUGUCACCUCAACCAGAAGGUGGUCCUACGGUGCACCAAGUGGGCCCUGAUGCCUCACACACAACCUGAAGUGUUCCAGGCUGAAUGGCCCAACUAUACCCAGCAGGCACCUGGCUGACUCGUGACUUAAAACACAACUCUGGCAAUACACCUGGGGCUGGUUCAGGAAGUUGCAACGUCACUGAACGUUCAGAUAGAAAUGUAUGAUGUAGAAUAGAUACCAUUGUCUGUCAUGUUGAAUAGAAUAACCUAUUCAACAUGACAGACAAUGGUAUCUAUUCUACAUCAUACAUUUCU
rnacentral:lncRNA from 1 species